CCUACGGGUAGCAGCAGUGAGGAAUAUUGGUCAAUGGACGAGAGUCUGAACCAGCCAAGUAGCGUGAAGGAUGACUGCCCUAUGGGUUGUAAACUUCUUUUAUAUGGGAAUAAAAUGUUCCACGUGUGGGAUUUUGUAUGUACCAUAUGAAUAAGGAUCGGCUAACUCCGUGCCAGCAGCCGCGGUAAUACGGAGGAUCCGAGCGUUAUCCGGAUUUAUUGGGUUUAAAGGGAGCGUAGGUGGAUUGUUAAGUCAGUUGUGAAAGUUUGCGGCGCAACCGUAAAAUUGCAGUUGAGACUGGCAGUCUUGAGUACAGUAGAGGUGGGCGGAAUUCGUGGUGUAGCGGUGAAAUGCGUAGAUAUCACGAAGAACUCCGAUUGCGAAGGCAGUUCACUGGACUGAAACUGACACUGAGGCUCGAAAGUGUGGGUAUCAAACAGGAUUAGAUACCCUUGUAGUC
rnacentral:rRNA from 1 species